UACGUAGGCAGCGAGCGUUGUUCGGAGUUACUGGGCGUAAAGAGUGCGUAGGCGGUUUUCUAAGUUUGGUGUGAAAUCUCCCGGCUUAACUGGGAGGGUGCGCCGAAAACUGGAAGGCUUGAGUAUGGGAGAGGUAAGCGGAAUUCCUGGUGUAGCGGUGAAAUGCGUAGAUAUCAGGAGGAACACCGGUGGCGAAGGCGGCUACCUGGACCGGUAUUGACGCUGAGGCGCGAAAGCUAGGGUAGCAAACAGG
rnacentral:rRNA from 1 species